AGCACUUCUCUGUGGGUAACAUCAGAAAAACAUGCCCCAGCUCUGCUCAGCUGAACGCUCACAGCCACAUACUUGGGAAGAAUCGGCCCUGGAAGAUGAGUGAGGACAGAGGACAAAGGAGCAAGCCUCUGCCACCCUUGCUAGGAGAACAAGCUGUGAAUUACUAAUGGGCAGGCGUGCAGGCACAGUGAGUGUAUUAUGGCCAAGUCAGAAUAGUGAAUGCAACAGCCAUGGGGCCUGGACCCAUUUGCACCCAGCACAGUGAAUUCACUGCGGGGAAAUCCACCAAAUCUCCCUCCUGCCAACGUUUUCAAGACUCUCCCUCCAGAUGCUGGAUGACAUGAUGAGCCUGGCUGGGAGCCCACUCUCUGCUCCAUCGGCCCACCCUCCCUUUGUGUUGUCUGUGGGUGGAGUAAGCUGUUGCCAACCGUGGCCAAAUGAAAAGCCCGAUGCCCUCCCUUCUCUCUAAAAGCUAUUUAUUGUUUUCCGAGGAGCCAGCCAUCAAAGAGAUCUCCUGUGCCCCACGCACUCCUCCCAACUCCCAGUUUUUGACUGAAAAAAUGCUAACAUCCGACCAGAUACCAGAAAAACAUCCUGAAAGACAAUGCCUGGACUCUUAUUUCCUAGGGAGCAGGACCAGGGCUUAUUACCACAUCAGCCUAUCUUGUUUUUACUGCUGUGAUGUUGCUGACAACAUAGCUGAAAUCUCCAACGUCUCCUUGUUCCUACCAGCAUUGAUUGGUUAUAUUUAAGCCUUCGUCCAGACCCACUUAUUCUCCGUUUCAUCUCAUUUUCUUCCCUGGCUCAGCGCGGUGCCAAGAAUUCUCUGGCUUUACACCCUGGAAGUGUGUUAUGAUGAGAUUCAAGAAACAAAAUGUGUGCAGAGAAGAUGCAAAUGGGUCACGUUGAUCUCCCAGCAGGGGUUAUUCAGAUAAUCCAGAAUAUUCUUACACAAAGUUUUUAAUAUUAUCAACAAAAUGCAAGAAAAAAUUUAAAAAAUUAUUGCAAAAAAGCAUGAGGUCCAAGAACACAUCUAAAGACCCCAGUUGGAGUGAAAUGGGUAUGGGGCAUGGGGAGGAAGGAUGGAGGCAACUGACACAGGAAGAGACAUUGUCUUUCUUCUGAAGGCAAUGAGGACGGCUAACCCUCACAAUGCGGUUUAUAUUACUCAGCAUCUUCUUUCAGUCUCUCUCCCUCCUUCCUUCCCUCUCCCUGUCUCUCUCUCUCCCUUCUUUCAUUCUUUCUGGGACAGAGUCUCACUCUGUUGCCCAAGCUGGAGCGCAGUGGCAUGAUCUCAGCUCACUGCAGCCUCCACCUCCCAGAGUCAAGCAAUCCUCCCACCUCAGCCUCCCAGGUAGCUACGACUAUAGGCACACGCCACCAUGCUCUGCUAAUUUGUGUAUCUUUUUUCGUAGAGAUGGGGUCUUGCCAUGUUGCCCAAGCUGGUCUCAAACUCCUGAGCUCAAGUGAUUCACCCGCCUCAGCCUCCCAAAGGGCUGGAAUUACAGGCGUGAGCCACCAUGCCCAGCCAUGCAUUUUCUUUGUAUACAUAUUUAGAAAGGCUUUAAAUCCUCGACUCAUAAUUGCCCUAAAUUUUGCUCUAAAUUUUUUUUAAAUUUUAUUAUUAUUAUACUUUAAGUUUUAGAGUACAUGUGCAUGACGUGCAGGUUUGUUACAUAUGUAUACAUGUGCCAU
ensembl:lncRNA novel transcript, antisense to PDGFRL